GUGACUACGGGGUGGAAAGUCAAGGGGACAACAGGGAAAACGGAGCCUUGCUAUUUCCUUAGAAGUGAGGCAUUUUAUUUUCGGAUGCUGUUGGCAGUAUUUCAAGACAAUGAUGGGCUGCUGGAGGAAGGACACUAACAUCAUCCAUGCCUAUUCUGUGCCGGGCACGUGGGAUUUCCAGCAUUGUCCCACAGAAUCCUCAUCACACCCCUGCAAGUUAAUGGUGAGACUCUCCACUUCACAGCUGAGGACAUGGAGGUUCAGAGAUGUGUAGUAGUAUAUCCUUGCCUCGCAGCCUGCAAGUUCCAGAUCAGGCUCAGCUGACUCAAGAGCGCAGGCUCUAGCCCCACCCUGUGUCCCCCCAAUCCUUUAUCGGUUCUCUCAAGGGUCUACCACCUACGUUCAGAUAAAAAUUGGUGGGCUUUGCAUCAAAUGUCCACCUGAAAUAAGUUUAAUAAUUGAAAAGUCAGGCUGGUCAAAUUUUUGGUUCUGGGAAGUCUGUAUAGUUGAAGAAGUACCCAUCAGUGAGUGGGAGUCCUCCAGGGUUGAAUUCAGAUAUAUAUCUAUAUCUACACCUAUCUAUAGAUAGAUAUACACAUAUAUUCAGAGACACAUAUCUAUAUAUGGAGAGAUUUAGGUGCGGUGUGUGUUUUUGUGUGUGUGUAUAUGAAGGGAAGAGAAGAAAUACUGAUAAGAGAAGACAUGAAGUGUAGGCCUCAAACCAGAAAAUUGAGACUGAGAGUCUGGAUAGCUAUAGCACAGGGAUAACAAUGAAAGUCCUAAGAAUGACAAAUCUGUCUAUUGAGUGCUUACAAGGUGCCAGGCACUCUACCAGGUGUUUUCCAAAGAUGAGUACAUUUUAUUCUCACAACCAUCCUACUAAAAAGGCAGGACUAUUGUAUUAGUCCAUUUUGUGUUGCUGCAACAAAACAUCUGAGACUGGGUACUUUAUAACUGAAGACGUUUAUUUGGCUUAUGAUUUUGGGGGUGGAUGGAAGAUCCAAAUUGCAGGGAGCCUGCAUCCUGGCAUGGCCACCUUGGCUGUGACAGACGACAAAGGAACAGAAAAGGAAAUGGCUGUGUGCAGAAGAGGCUAAGCCUAUGGGAUGGCUUUGCUUUCUAACUCCCUAACUAUCUUGAGACCUAACCCACUCUGCAAGAGAUCAGUAUUAAUCCAUUUAGGAGGGUGGAGCCCCAAUGACCUAAUUUCCUCUCACUAGCCACCUCUUUAAAGGCUCCAACACCUCAAUGCAGUAUUGAGCCUAUGAACCUUUUAUUUUUUUUCCAGUUUUCCAGCACAUGAACUUUUGAGGGGUAAAUCACAUCCAAAUCUAAAGCAUUUACCAUCCCUAUUUUUAGAUUGAGUACCUUGUACAUGAAGAAUCUUACAGAGGAAAUGGUGAAGGAGAGACUGGAACGAAGCUCUGUUCAACCCUAAGACUCCUUGCUUCAUUUAACCAUCAGGCUUUACUAAGUCAAGGUGAACGAGAGUGGGAGAAGCCUAGCACCUGGAGAUGAUGCUAACCUGGAGAAGCAGUACUUUGCAGGUGACAUAUCUUGGGAGGAUGGGACACAGAGUGGCUACAGCUCACCCAGAACCAGUCCUUCAGGCAAGAUCAGGUGCCUCAGGAGCCAGCAGUUGAGCGCUAUGGGAGCUCUUGGGUCCAGAGUGGGUGGAGACAAGCAGACUUGGUCAAUAUCCAUUGGCCUCUCUCGGAUUGGUUCAGGAACCUCAGGGGGCGGGGCUUAAGCCUCAGGGAGCUGGAGCUGCUUGGUGCUGCUACCCCAGGGCUGGAGUCUCGCGCUGUGACUUCUGGGACUUUGGCUUAGUGAUUUCACAACCUUGAGCCUCAGUUUUCUGGAAAGUGGAGAUAAUCUGAGUACAUUCAAAUAUUAGUAUAGUAUAUUAUUAGAUAAUAAUUAAUUGUGUCGUUGGGAGGUUCGGUGAA
rnacentral:lncRNA from 1 species